UAAAGGUUUGGUCCCGGCCUUACUAUCAGUUUUAACCUAUUUUAUACAUGCAAGUAUCCGCGCCCCUGUGAAGAAUGCCCUAUGUCUCCCUCCGGGGAAACAAGGAGUAGGUAUCAGGCACGAACCUUCAGCCCACGACACCUGGCUCAGAGCCACGCCCCCAAGGGUCUUCAGCAGUAAUAAAUAUUAAGCAAUAAGUGCAAACUUGACUUAGCUAGGGUUAAGAGGGCUGGUAAAACUCGUGCCAGCAACCGCGGUUAAACGAGUGGCCCAAGCUGAUAGGCACCGGCGUAAAGGGUGGUUAGGAUGCAACUAAAAUAAAGUCGAAUUCCUUCUAUGCUGUUAUAAGCUUCCGAAGGCUAGAAGCUCAACUACGAAAGUAGCUUUAAAAGAUCUGAACCCACGAAAGCUGGGGUACAAACUGGGAUUAGAUACCCCACUAUGCCCAGUCUUAAACUACGAUAGCGAAAUUACACACUUGCUAUCCGCCUGGGAACUACGAGCGAAAGCUUAAAACCCAAAGGACUUGGCGGUGCUUUAGACCCCCCUAGAGGAGCCUGUUCUAGAACCGAUAAUCCCCGUUAAACCUCACCUUUCCUUGUUCCUUCCAGCCUAUAUACCUCCGUCGUCAGCUUACCCCUCUGAGGGUACCAUAGUAAGCUAAAUCGGUUUUACCCCAAUACGUCAGGUCGAGGUGUAGCCCAUGGAAAGGGAUGAAAUGGGCUACAUUCUCUAAGAUUAGAGCAUACGGAUGGUCACGCUGAAAUAUGUACCUGAAGGUGGAUUUAGCAGUAAGUACAAAAUAGAGUGUUAUACUGAAGCCGGCUCUAAAGCGCGCACACACCGCCCGUCACCCUCCCCGAAUCAUUCUAUUUCACUAAUUAAGAAACCACUUUAAAAAGAGGGGAGGCAAGUCGUAACAUGGUAAGUGUACCGGAAGGUGUACUUGGAAAACCCC
rnacentral:ncRNA from 1 species